UCAUGGUGCCCAGUUGCACAGAACAGGCUACCUAGUUGCGCACGCUGUGUUAGUUCGAGCAUCAAAGAUAACACAACUAACUUGUUUGUCCUGUUCUGGCUAUAGGUGAUGCCAACCCUCAAAGACCUCCUCCACCUCCUGGCUGUACACGGCAUCCUCCGCCACCUCCUCCCCCGCGUGCUCCUCACAAUGGCCCUACAGGCAGCACUCAGGGGGCUCAUCGUCCAGGUAAUUACCUGCCCCAACUCCCCAUCAAACUAGGUCUGUAACUCCAGUUGCACACAUCAUGGUGCCCAGUUGCACAGAACAGGCUACCUAGUUGCGCACGCUGUGUUAGUUCGAGCAUCAAAGAUAACACAACUAACUUGUUUGUCCUGUUCUGGCUAUAGGUGAUGCCAACCCUCAAAGACCUCCUCCACCUCCUGGCUGUACACGGCAUCCUCCGCCACCUCCUCCCCCGCGUGCUCCUCACAAUGGCCCUACAGGCAGCACUCAGGGGGCUCAUCGUCCAGGUAAUUACCUGCCCCAACUCCCCAUCAAACUAGGUCUGUAACUCCAGUUGCACACAUCAUGGUGCCCAGUUGCACAGAACAGGCUACCUAGUUGCGCACGCUGUGUUAGUUCGAGCAUCAAAGAUAACACAACUAACUUGUUUGUCCUGUUCUGGCUAUAGGUGAUGCCAACCCUCAAAGACCUCCUCCACCUCCUGGCUGUACACGGCAUCCUCCGCCACCUCCUCCCCCGCGUGCUCCUCACAAUGGCCCUACAGGCAGCACUCAGGGGGCUCAUCGUCCAGGUGAUGCCAACCCUCAAAGACCUCCUCCCCCUCCUAGCCCAACUAGCAGUGCCCUGCGUGCUACUCCUAAUGGACCUACAGGCAGGACUCAGGGGGCUCAUCACCCAGGCGAUUACAAUCCAAGUACCAUGACGGGCCGUGCUACUACAGGUGAUCGUGAUGGUCCUACUGCCCCGUUGGAGGCUGCAUCCCCUGCACAAGCUUCUGAUGAUUUUGUGCCCAGGGAUCCUCCAAGGUCUACUACAAAGGGUAGGGUAAAGAGUCGACGGUACAAAUCGGCGCUGGAGCUACACCCAAAGAAGAAAAACAAAUGCAGCCAGUGCCAAUCUACAAAGCACACUGCUGGUGUGUGUCCACUCAGUCUACUGUGAUUCUGUUUCAUCGUUUGUAACUUUGGGACAAAAAAGGAAAAGAAUGAUGUUUUUUGAGCAAUGUUGGGACCAAGUGGACACAUUCAGCAUCUAUGAUUUCUCUUUAUCUAAUUUAUGCUCCUUGAAUUAGUUCAUGCACUGUGUAAAAAAGGUUGCUAUUUGUGCCUUUGUUGGCAACUGGUUAAAUAUUUAGUUGUUGAACAAUUGUAUGUCCAGUGCUCCUAAUGUAUCAACAAAAGUGAUGAUAUUGAGUUGCAAACGGAAUUACUACUAGUGUGCAACUACAAAAUCUGCUGAAAAAUUGUGCAAACCAGCAACUUCCUCCAUGGAGCAGAGAAACAAAAAGAGUACUGACCUAGUCCUUGUCGUAUCUCAGCAACUUCCUCCAUGGGGCGGUGUUGUGCACGCUGGUGACCCAAUCAUAUGCCAGCUUCUUCCUGAUGUUGAGUACUUCCUUGGGUUCGUAGUUGGGCAGUUGGCUACCGUUCCACUCGGUGGCGUUAAGCAGUGCGAACAGCCCACACUCAUUACUGCGAUGGG